ensembl:lncRNA
UCACUUAACAUGCUUGCUUGAGGCUUCUGGAUGGUGAUUUCUAAUGAUUUGAGAUUGCAUGUUGGCUUUGCCUUGGGUAAGCUCUCUGUCCCCUAAAUUCUUCAUCUGUAGAAAAUAGGAUGAUAUCUAUUGUCAAGAUUAUUAUAAGGAUUAACAUGAGAUGAUAUAAGGGAAAGUGUCUUGUUUACAGCAAUCACGGUAACUGGUAUACUCACAGCCCUUGUUAAGAGAGAACUUGGGCAGCUUCGUUGGUCCACAGUUGAUUGGACCAUGUGUGGACACUCAAUCCCCCAAAAUCACCCAGAUCCACAGGCUGAUCAGAUACUAAUGGGGCAGCUCAGUGGAGAAGGUUGUGCCUAAAAAGUAAAAUAGCAGCAGGUUGCUCUCUUGAAUCUGAAAUGGGAAACAAGAAGAGAAUCAGGAAAUUAGGGGCAGAAGCUAAAGCUAAAACGAUGUAAGGAGGGAGGAAGUUGUGGGGCCAGAUGCAAGUUGUAUUUCUUGAGUAGGGCUAAGUUCUAAGGAAACAGAAACUGAAUAUACAGAAGCGAGAACAUCCCUAAUAGUAGAUGAGUCACGAAAAUGCAGAACAGUACACGGAAGAUCCUUAGUUCCUGCCGCCGAGAUUCCUGGAGUCAUCUUGCGCCCAGAAGAGUUCCUGUUGUUGGAUUUCCAUGGUUUGCCUAUCUUCCAUAUUGACUUGCAUGCUCAGUUGCCUCAAUCAUGUCCGACUCUGCGAACCUACGGACUGUAGCCCACCAGGCUUCUCUGUCCAUAGGAUUUUCCAGGCACGAAUACUGGAGUGGGUUGCCACGCCCUCCUCCAAGGGAUCUUCCCAACCCAGGAUGCAAACCAGCAUCUUCUGCUUCUCUUGCAUUGCAGGUAGAUUCUUUACCACUGAGCCACCAGGGAAGCCCUUUUAUUGACUUGUGCCAUCUUAAAAUAAACUUCCAUUACUUGAGCUGGACUAUUAAUCCUCAUGUCUUGCAAAAGAGCUUAAUUAAAACAAAAGGAAUCCACGUGGUAGUUUCAUUUUUAAAAAUGGAUCAUGAAACAGUGGGGCAUAAGGGAAACAGGAGAAUAUUCCUGACAAAGGGAAUACCAAGAGUCAAGUCUUGGACUUCCCUGGUAGUCUAGUGGUAAAGAAUCUGCCUGUCAAUGGAGGGGACACAGGUUCAAUCCCUGGCCCAGGAAGACUGCACUUGCCACAGAGCAACUAAGGCCACGGCUACGGAAGCCCGUAUGCCCUAGAUCCUGUGCCACGCAACAAGAGAAGCCACUGCAGGGAGAAGCACAGAGCAGCCAAAAUAAAUAAAUAAAAUUGUGAAAAUAAAUAACCAAGAUGGAGGAAAAAAAAGAGUCAAGGCUUGGAGAGAGUAUUAAGGGUAUUGGUGGGUGGGCAGAAUCUGAAAGCAUGAGUCAGAGGGUUGUGAUAGAUCAGAACCAAAGCCUAAAAGGAGUAAGGCAGGGUAGGGCGGUUGGGAACCCAGAUGCCCAGGAUGGGCAGAUUUACUGUAUUAUCAGUGGAAGCUCCUCCACUAAGGCUUUGUUAUUCUCACACCCUGAAGGGUUUUACUUUAGUAAUUCAAACAAUCUUAAAGAUCUUUAAAGAUCAGUCAACAACCCCCACCUUGGGCAAGCAGUAUAUCAACCUAACUGAUUAAUGAUCAAAAGCCCAGUUGUUGUUAUGGAAGACUCCACCAGACCACCUCCUUAUCUCUGACUUUCAGAAACUUCAAGGAAGCUGCUUGAAAGAAAUACAGAAAACAAGCUGUCAUGUUUGACCUUGUGACCUUAACCACAGGGAUAUGCAGUAAGGAG